rnacentral:tRNA from 1 species
GAUUGGGGCUCAGUGGUAUAGAAUGCUUGUCUAGGAUGUGCAAGGCCCUGGGUUCAAUCCCCAGCCUCAACCC